rnacentral:rRNA from 1 species
UACGUAGGGUGCAAGCGUUGUCCGGAAUCAUUGGGCGUAAAGCGCGCGUAGGUGGCUUCGUAAGUCCGUUGUGAAAGUCAAAGGCUCAACCUUUGAAUGCCGAUGGAUACUGCGAAGCUAGAGUACGGAAGAGGCGAGUGGAAUUCCUGGUGUAGCGGUGAAAUGCGCAGAUAUCAGGAGGAACACCAAUGGCGAAGGCAGCUCGCUGGGACGGUACUGACGCUGAGACGCGAAAGCGUGGGGAGCAAACAGG